rnacentral:rRNA from 1 species
GGUCAUACGGUGGAUCGCGAGUGCUGUCCGUAAUUAGUGGGCAUGCAGUGUUCUAGGCGGAUGUGUAAGUCAGGGGUUCAACUUGGUAGCUGCACUAGGACACGGCACAUUGAUAGUGCAGAGCUUGAAUAAUAUGUAAGUAACUAGACUAUGUAGUGUAUCGAUGUGAUGAUUAGAUAUGACAUGGAAUGCCAUUUGCGAAGGCAGGUUACUCCGUAUUUAUUGACGCUGAUGAACGAAAGCGUGGGGAGCGAACAGGAUUAGAUACCCUGGUAGUCCACGCCGUAAACGAUGGAUACUAGGUGUUCUGUUUUCGGAAUGAGUGGCUAAGCGAAAGUCAUAAGUAUCCCACGUCGGCAAGGUUUAACUCGAAUGAAUUUCCGGGGAACCGCCCAAGCGGUGGACAAGCGGUUUAACUUGGAGUCUAAUUGAAUAACCUUCGAGGCUCCUUACCAGGGCUUAAAUUUCCAGAGACGGAUUUGGACUCAGAUUUUUCUUCGGACAAUUUACAAGGUGCUGCAUGGUUGUCGUCAGCUCGAACCGUGAGGUGUCAGUCUAAGUCCUAGCACGAGCGCACCCCCUAUUGUUAGUUUCCAGCGGGUUACUCCGGGGACUCUACCAAGACCACCGGGGCGGACGGUGAGGAAGGUGGCGAGUCCUCAUGAUCAUCACGGCCCUUACGUCCUGGGCCACACACGUGCUACAAUGGCAAGUACAGAAAGCAGCUGCCUGGCAACAGGAUGCGAAUCUCCAAAGCUUGUGUCAGUUCGGAUUGGAGUCUGCAACUCGACUCUAUGAAGCUGGAAUCGCUAGUAAUCGGAUAUCAGCCAUGAUCCGGUGAAUGCGUUCCCGGGCCUUGUACACUCCGCCCGUCGAGCCAGGGAAGCCGGGGGUCGGGAAGUCGGCCCCGCGAGGAGCUU